GUGUGCUGUAUUUUCUAUCAGCUUCUGAUAAGGAUGGGGAACGCUGAAGACUCAGAAAGGAGUGACCGAGAUGAGGAAAAAGCUCUAAAUCUCCACACUGAAAGGUGACCUCUGAACAAUGUGGAGGUUAGGGGCUCAGACAGCUCUCACAGUCAAAAAUGUCUCUAUAAUUUACAGUUCCACCCUCAGGAUCCACAAUUCUUCGGUAUCCAUGGUUGUGUGUUUGUGGAUUCAACCAAGCUGGAAGCCCAUAGUGCUGUAUGUAUUUAUUGAAAAAUAAUUCAUAUAAGGUUAUCCACACAGUUUAAAACCUGUGCUGUUUCAAGGGUCAACUGUACUUCUUUCUCCACUGGUAUACUACAACAAAUGAUAUUCAAACUACUGGUAUUAGAACCUGGCUUCUUACCUUUCCACUAUCUUUCCUUAAUGUCUGGCAUGUGUAAGAUAAUCAACUAUCCCCCAGUUGCAGAGGACUGAGGGAACAUGGGACUUUUAGUGUUCAAAUUGGGAAAGUCCUAGGCAAACUGGUACAAGUUGGUCACCCUGUGUCGUAAAUGC
ensembl:lncRNA